rnacentral:tRNA from 1 species
GUGGUUAUCACGUUUGCUUCACACGCAAAAGGUCCCUGGUUCGAAACCGGGCGGAAACAACGCUCAUUGACACAUUCUGAAGUACCAUAGUGGUAACAGAAAAUUUCAUGAAUUCUUUAUUUUGGAAAUUCGAAUACGUGCCAUGAAUAUUUUUAAAAUUCGGUUUACUCCUUGCAGAAAAAUCAAGCAGCAGUUUCUGUAGUGUAGUGGUUAUCACGUUCUCUUUACACGUGAAAGGUCCUCAGUUUGAAACUGGGAGGAAACAGUGCUCUUUGACACGUGCAGUAGGCAUUUAUGAAAAUAACUAUUCUCUGUUAAUAGUACAGUACCUACCGCACAUGUCAAAGAGCACUGUUUCCUCCCGGUUUCAAACUGAGGACCUUUCACGUGUAAAGCGAACGUGAUAACCACUACACUACAGAAACUGCUGCUUGAUUUUCCUGCAAGAAGUAAACCGAAUUUUACAGAUAUUCAUGGCACGUAUUCG